rnacentral:ncRNA from 1 species
GUUAUCAACUUUAGCUAGACUUACACAUGCAAGCAUCCGCACUCCAGUGAGAAUGCCCUAUGGUCCUCUGUUUGAGGGCUGGGAGCUGGUAUCAGGCACAAGAACUUAGCCCACGACGCCUUGUUUAGCCACACCCUCAAGGGAAUUCAGCAGUGAUAAACAUUAAGCCAUAAGUGAAAACUUGACUUAGUUAAAGCUAAGAGGGCCGGUAAAUCUCGUGCCAGCCACCGCGGUUAUACGAAAGACCCAAGUUGAUAGUCACCGGCGUAAAGAGUGGUUAAGAUAAAUCCACAAACUAAAGCCGAACAUCUUCAAAGCUGUUAUACGCACACGAAGAAAGGAAAUCCAACCACGAAAGUGGCUUUAUAUCAUCUGACCCCACGAAAGCUAUGAUACAAACUGGGAUUAGAUACCCCACUAUGCUUAGCCGUAAACAUUGAUAGUACAGUACAUCUACUAUCCGCCCGGGUACUACGAGCAUAAGCUUAAAACCCAAAGGACUUGGCGGUGCUUUAGAUCCACCUAGAGGAGCCUGUUCUAGAACCGAUAAUCCCCGUUAAACCUCACCUUUUCUUGUUUUCCCCGCCUAUAUACCGCCGUCGUCAGCUUACCCUGUGAAGGGUCAAUAGUAAGCAAAAUUGGCAUAGCCCAAAACGCCAGGUCGAGGUGUAGCGUAUGAAAAGGGAAGAAAUGGGCUACAUUCAAUAUAACAAUGCAUACGGAUGGUGGCCUGAAAUACCCACCUGAAGGAGGAUUUAGCAGUAAGCAGGAAAUAGAGAGUCCCGCUGAAAUUGGCCCUGAAGCGCGUACACACCGCCCGUCACUCUCCCCGAAACUAUGUAUCUUAAUACUUAAUACCUUAAAACUCCAAAGGGGAGGC